rnacentral:tRNA from 1 species
CCUAUGAUGGUUCAGUGGUAGAAUUGUUGCUUUCCAUGCGGGAGACCCAAGUUUGAUUCCUGGUCAAUGGA